rnacentral:rRNA from 1 species
UAGGGGAAGUCUUCCACAAUGGACGCAAGUCUGAUGGAGCAACGCCGCGUGAGUGAAGAAGGUCUUCGGAUCGUAAAACUCUGUUGUUAGAGAAGAACACGAGUGAGAGUAACUGUUCAUUCGAUGACGGUAUCUAACCAGCAAGUCACGGCUAACUACGUGCCNG